rnacentral:rRNA from 1 species
GAUGAACGCUGGCGGCGUGCCUAAUACAUGCAAGUCGAACGAGACGGAAGGGAGCUUGCUCCUUGAUGUCUAGUGGCAAACGGGUGAGUAACGCGUAGGCAACCUGCCUCUAAGAUGGGGACAACAGAGCGAAAGUUCUGCUAAUACCGAAUGUUGUAUCUUUACCGCAUGGUGGAGAUAUUAAAGAUGGCCUCUACUUGUAAGCUAUCACUUAGAGAUGGGCCUGCGUCUGAUUAGCUAGUUGGUGGGGUAACGGCUCACCAAGGCGACGAUCAGUAGCCGGUCUGAGAGGAUGAACGGCCACAUUGGGACUGAGACACGGCCCAGACUCC